GAUGAAGAACGUAGCGAAAGGCGAUAAGUAAUGUGAAUUGCAGAAUUCAGUGAAUCAUCGAAUCUUUGAACGCACAUUGCGCCCCCUGGUAUUCCGGGGGGCAUGCCUGUCCGAGCGUCAUUACAACCCUCAAGCUCAGCUUGGUGUUGGGCCCCGCCGCCCCGGCGGGCCCUAAAGUCAGUGGCGGUGCCGUCCGGCUCCGAGCGUAGUAAUUCUUCUCGCUCUGGAGGUCCGGUCGUGUGCUCGCCAGCAACCCCCAAUUUUUUUCAGGUUGACCUCGGAUCAGGUAGGGAUACCCGCUGAACUUAAGCAUAUCAAUAAGCGGAGGA
rnacentral:misc_RNA from 1 species